rnacentral:misc_RNA from 1 species
ACCUACGGCGCACCGCACAUCUCUCCUCUCCGGGAGGCGCAAGGUCUGCCUAAAAAGGUGGCGAUCAACUCCCGCUAGGCAGUGAAGGGGUGGAGGAGAGACAUACGGCCCUCGUCGGCGGCUCGCACGCGCACGCACGCCCUCAGCUGCAAUGAGGUACUGGCGCUCACGCCGUGAGCGAGGAGGCCGAUGGGAUGGCUUCUCGCUAUUGCUCGUCGUGGGGGCGCUGCUGCUACUGUCAGUGAGUGUGAAAGGCGGGAUGGCGCAAACAGGCAGACACGGCGACGGAGCCGUCGGACCGUUUGGCCCGCUAGCGCAUGCUUUUACGACGAUGCAGUCGUACCAUCGUCAUAUGACGCUCAGCUCAAACCCUGUCGUCGUGUUCGUCUUUGACCAUCAAGGCUCCGCGGUGACGAACUUCUGGGCUCCACUGAUGCAGAGCGUCUCGAAGGGGUUCGAUGCGUUUGGGAUUGAGGUAGCGCACGCGCCCACGUCGUCGGAAAUCGGGCAACAGCUGCUAGGAGCCAUGAACGCCGGCAGUGGUGGUCCGAUCAUCCUAUUCUUCCAAGGCGUCGGCGACACGCCGGCUGAGGGCGGCAAGGCAUUGAAAAUGCCCAUUGCGUAUGAGGGCAACAUCGAUAUAGCGCACAUCAUGUCGUGGGGUCUGUCAUGCAUCUCCUCUUCGGUCACGCAUCGCGUGCACAACGACGUCGAUCUCGCCCGCUUCUUCGCUCAGUACCCUCAGUACCCCACGCUCCCGCAUGUGCUGUACUUUCCCUCCACGAGCUACACCCCGGGCGGCUACCUCGCCCUCAGUCAACACUUUGCCCUCGAUGCUGUGUUCGGCGUCGUGCCGAACGCGUUCGCCGCACCUAACGCGACUCUCAUUGCACAGCGGUACAACAUCACUAGCAAAGAUGAACUACCCGUCCUGCUGGUGCUUCACAGGGCCGCAGCGGACGAUGGCGGCGGCGCCGGUGAGUCAGACCGCGUAGUCCGAAUGCCGGCGACGGCCACCUCGCUCUCCUAUCGGGAGGCGCUGGCGUUUCUGUCGACGCACAUCACGGACACUGUCGCCGCGCUCGUGGCGAAGGCAGAGUCUACGCAAAAUCAGCACUUCCUCGAAGUAGCAGAAAGCCGCCGCGUGUACAUGAUGGGACAGCUGAUUGAGCGGCAGCUUGAUAUUGCGGAGGAGGAGCGACUUCAGAUGGCACGUGAGCCGAUUCUUGUGAAGGACCAAGCUGCCUGGACGAAGGAGUGUGUGCAGCUGCCCAAGAAGCACCGCUGCCUCGCUGCCUUUGUCGACUCUGCGCAAGAUUCGGCGGCAAAGGACAACGCUGUAAAGGUACUUGCGCUUGUCUCCGUCAAGCUACUGGAAAUAAUGGGGCGUGAGGCGCAAAAGGUGUCGCUCGUCGUUGUCGACCGGCAAGGUAGCGAUGCCGUGCGCGAGUACUUUGAUGUGGGCCAUAACGGCUUCCCUGAUGUACUUUUCCUUUCCUUGGACCAUCCCGCUAAGUACUACAACUUUGUCGGCACCUUCUCCGCCGAGGGCGUGACGCAGUUUAUCGCGUCUCAUGACGCGCAGCUCACACACAAGGACGUGCGAGGCGGACAUACCUUUAUCCCGCGUAUGGUGCCGAAGCUGGAAGAGGCGGUAGCGGUGACUCGCGGCAGCGAUGAGGAUCAAGACGACUUGUAAGAUGGGCUUCUGCGAGGUGUCUUUCUAUUCUGUGUUUCUCCUCCGUCUCUCGCUCGCUGUUUUCCGUGAAGGCGACAGACGAGAAGGGCGGUAGCCGCGUUUGCUGCCCGGGUCGGGUAAGCGUCUCUUUUACUUCUCCCUCCACUCCCCUCCUCUACUCUCCCGCUCCCCGCUGCGGCUGAUGUGUGCCUGCCAGUGGUGGGGCGUAAAGCGCCGUGCAUUGGGGCUGGGCCGCUGUCUUUUUUCUUUUUGAAUGCCUUCUUUCUCCUCUCUCUCCUUCCUCCGUUGUCUCCCCGUCGUCUUCCCGCCGUGUGUUCAACACCGAGCGGAUGGUGCGUGGAAGGAAGCGGAAGGGAGAGAGGGAACGUGAGGGAGAUGCGUGUGAGGGGAUAUCGGCGAUGUGCCUAGAGUGGAGCGGAAGAGUAAACCCGAAGCAGACAAAUAUAGAGAGAGUGGAAAGGAAAACAGGGGGGGAUGAGGAUAGGGAAGAAGCUCCUGCAGCGACAGCACCAGCUCUCGAGUCUCGCUGCCGCAGAAACAAGAGUUUACGGGGGCAUAUCGCUCUCUUCUUCAGCGGAUGCCUCGGCGAGCUCUUUGUGCCCUCCCCUCCCUCCCCCCCAAAGCGGUUAGGG